rnacentral:rRNA from 1 species
ACUCAAAUGAAUUGACGGGGACCCGCACAACCAGUGGAGCGUGUGGUUCAAUUCGAGACAAAGCGAAAAACCUUACCAGGGUUUGACAUAGUACCGUUUUAUACCUUUGGAAACAUUGGUAGAUCCGCAAGGAUGGUAUUACAGGUGCUGCAUGGCUGUCGUCAGCUCGUGCCGUGAGGUGUUCCCUUAAGUGGGGAAACGAGCGCAACCCCCGCCCAAUGUUACAUAUUCAUUGGGGACAGCCCCGAUCAUAUCGGGGAGGAAGGAGGGGCAGAUGUCAAGUCAGCAUGGUCCUUAUACCCUGGGUUACACACACCCUACAAUGGCGAAAAACAACGGGCUGCAAGUACGCAAGUGCAAGCAAAUCCCUCAAAUUUCGCCUCAGUUCAGAUUGGGGUCUGCAACCCGACCCCAUGAAGUCGGAAUUGGUAGUAAUCGCGGAUCAGCAGGCCGCGGUGAAUACGUUCUCGGGUCUUGUACACACCGCCCGU